CUAAAAUCCUUUAGAGGCAAGAAUGGCACAUCUGUUGUUUUGCACAGCCUUCAACAUCAGGUUGUGGGAUGGAUGAGAAGCAUGUUUCAAGACCCCAUAAUGAACCUUCCCAUAAAACAGCCAUGGGUAUGAGAAGCAGAGGGCUACAUAAGGGAUAUGUCAGGCAGAUGAGAGCUUUUAGCCUGGAGGAGAUGUCAAGAAAGUUAUUACACUUCACACCCCUGAAGGGAAACUACAUAGCAAGGGAACAGCUGUUAGGUCUUUAUACAGUCACUCUAGCAGCAUGCCAGGUCCCCUUAGAUACUGAAAGACCACUGUCAGGUCUCUCUGGAGCCUUCUCUUCUCCAGGAUAAAAAGCCCCAGCUCUUUCAGCCUGUCAAGCUGUAAAUCUGGUGCUGUCCUACACUGCAUUCUUCAGUUCUUGUUUACUGAAAGAGCAUGGUUACUGUGAGUAUUCCAGCUUUCACUGCAAAAAGUGGGAAUUUCUACCUCUCCUUGUUACAAAGCAAAGCUUGAAAACAUGAUGUUGGCAAACUUAAACUCCUGAAAAUCUGGGAUUGAUGUAAUAUAAGAGAUGGGCUCAUGAUUUUUGUGAUUACACAUCACUUGAAGGGGGGGGGGGGGGGAGGGGGGCAUUAAUUAUUUCUGACUGUUUGCAGGUGCAAAGUUUCCUCUUUGGGAAUGCUUUGUCAGUGAUGUCCUCAGACUGAUAAUAACAUCAUUUUGCUAUUAGCAUGUGUGAAUAUGAGCAGUCCUAUGGUCUAAUACAUUUCCUCUCCAGAUUUGGACUCUGAUCUUGCAAGCUGUAUGUUUUACCUGUGAAAAGUACUGCAGUGUUGACUAGUGUGCACAGGCAAGAAGCUCAUUUUACUCAUUACAAAAUCUGCUUUCAUAGAAAUCACAGUAUGUCCAAAUGCCACGUUAUUAGCAGAAGAGGAUAUCAUGAUACAGAUUUCCCACCUGCUAACUGUUCUUUACUCCAAAAAGUCAAAGUAUGCACAACUUUCCUCGCCCUCCAUCUUGACGACCCACAGACACCGGCGUAGAAAUGAAAGGACGCCUCGAGCAGAAAAUCUGAAAGGCUGAUGCCUUUCCGUCGGUCCCGUUAGGUGGAGCUCUCAGACAAGGAGAAAUGACAUCCCACCAGGCACCCUGAGGAGUCGUUAGCACUGUAUUAUUCAGGUAUUUAUUUAUUUUUUUCCAUGCCGAGAGCUUUCUCAUUUUGAAAAAGCUCAUUUCUGUCCUGCUAGAAACCUUACUGCAUGCUUUUAAAACCAGUGCGAUGCAGCAGCCCUGUCUGUACAACCUGUUUUCGUUAGCUUAACACAUCACUGAGAUGGAGCUGAAAACUUCAGAGAUGCUGUGUCACUGGGACAACAUCAGCAACGCGAAAGUCAGAGGAAUAGUUAUGGAAUUAAAGAAGCAGAGCAGAUAAAAACACUGGGUGCGGCACACAGAAGUCAGACAUUUCCAGCAAGAGCUCAGUUCUGUCCGUGGUAGUCAUCCACUGACAGCAAUGGUGCAGGGUUCAGUGGAAAAAUUAGCCAUGCAAACACAAAGGUGUAGUACAAAUUGAAACAGCGAAUCGUUUGCUAUGUGACUUUCUGCCACUUUCAGAUUGUAGUUGCUCUCUUAUCUUGAUUUUGUACCUGACAUAAAUUCCUACAAGGUACGGGGGUAGCCCUCCCUACUCCCACACAAGGAGAACAAAGGUAACCCUACACAGGUAUGAGACAGAAAAGUGAGUCCUACCAAAAAGUCGUGCAUUUUUCAAGGGUAUUGGCUCUCUUGCCAAAUGUUUGCUACGUGCAAUCGCUAAGCAAUGUCAAUAUUUUUGCUACAAAAGUGGGGGUAGUUGGAAAGAUAGGAAAGAGGAAGGAGAAGAUAAAGAACUGACAGAAAUUAGCAGAGAUCAUCCAGAUACAUAUGGAAGGAAAGAUUCAAACCAGUCUCUGCUCGACUCUACACCUUUUCUAAGAGAGACAAUUGAUUUAAUUUAAUCACUUCAACCAUGAUGAAAAUCUGCUAGCUUUAUCCUUUAUUAGGGCAGACAUGACACUCCUGUAAUAGAUUAUUUCAGUAAAGCUUAGCACAUCUCCUGCAUUUAUCCUUGAUACAAAAACAGAGUAAUUUCAUGAUCAGUACAGCACAAUGCUGUGAAGUGUUUCUGAAUAAAUGGUUGGUGUGUUUGAAUAUAGCCUGUCUAGCUCCAGUUUUGCAACAAAAACAAGUGCAGAUGCUUGAACAGCCUGAAAGCCUGCUCCAUUGUCAGACUUCUGAAAACCUGUACUCUUUUUCACACAAAGGAAACACCGUUUAGACUUCAUGCUAAAAUAAAUAAUACGCAGUGGCAGUGAGACCUGAGAACCAGCAGAUUCAUUUCUGUGUUGAAAUCAGUUGGCCAUAUUACUUGACAGACUCUGACUUUAUCCGGAUGCGCUUUCCCGAUGUAAGAAGACUUGCCCUACCAGUAAGGACUGGUGUGCUGUAAGAAGAGUCGCUCCCCAGCACUGGAGCUCUCUCCCUCACAUCCAUGUUCUUUGGCUCUAUGCAUUUCCCCAGAUAGAUAGACUUAAUUCUUGUCUCCAGUAAUUCAUUGAAAACUUGAUGCUAACGUAAGAAAGGUGUCACAGGUGAUCUUUCCUUCUUGACGUGAUAUCAUGAGCCAGGAUUGUUUUGGCUGCACUGGGCAACACAUACCAAUCGCAGUGGCUGUAGUUUCCACCAACCAGUUCAGGUGCAGGCACAAAAAGCCAGAGCUUCAGGAGCAUUUCUAAUUCUUCACUUCCCCUCUCCUGCCUUUGGGAUGGCCUUAAUGUCUGCAGGGUGUACAGACGGUUUUCCCUUCAAGCUCUCCUCUGUGGUCUGUUCAGCUUUCAAAUGACAGUGUGUAUCUGUGGUACUGAUAUGCUCUGUUCUCUGUCAUGACUUCUGCUUACCCUGAGACCCCUGACUGCAACAGAGGGAGUUCCUAUAGUCCCCGUUUCAUGGCUUCAGGCUAAGAGACUUCUUUAGCACUAUCCAGGUAACCUGUGACAGAUCAGGAGACUAAAUCUGAUUCCAGUCCAGAGCUCCAACCAUUGAACGUACUAUGCUGCAUUACACAAAUAGAUGAGUGUGGGUCCUAUUUAAGAAGAAAAAAGGGGAUGAAGGUUAUGGUAGCCUUACCCCAUUUGCCCAGGUUUCAAAGACAAGCAAGAAAAAGGGUCAAGACAGUGGAAGCUUGAAGCAUUUGAUGCCUCAUGGUGAGCCCCUGAUAAGUCCUGCAGGCAGACAAGGCAGCUGGUAAGGCACAUUAAGCAAAGCAUCACAGAAGCGUCACUCUAAUUUUCCCAGUGUAAACAAAAAAGCUCUCUCCAAAUGUGAAAUUUCUGCAUCGAGAACUUCAGUUUUUAAGAGUGUUUUUCUUUGGAUUUUUUUUUUUUCUGUCAGAAAAUUCUUAGUUAUGCACUACAUGCCCCCCUAAUUCCCACUCCAGCUUCCCACUGUCCAUGCCUCUGAAUGAGCGAGAACAGUCUGUCAUCCAUGAUUCAAUAUUUCAGGAAAGCUGAGAGUGGUUAUAAGACAGAAAAUCAAUCUUAACUAGUGAGAUUUCCAUAAAGUUCAAUUAAAAGUGUCAAGCUAUUGUGACUAGAUUUGUCAAACCGUGGGUGACGAUCUUUGCAGUGCAGCACCGUUCUUGUCUGGAGAGGAAUGCAAGAGGGGAUCCCGGUUCCCAGACUGCUGCAGGCACACCACAUUUCUGGAUACAUCUCUGCCCCUUAAUCCUGCAUCCAGAACUGAGCAGCCUCCUGGAAAGGGAGAGUUUGAGGAGAAAGCCAAUGCAAAUGCUUGUGGCUCAGAAGGAAACUGGUAUGAACUUGAUAAGGAAAAUAAUAGCAUUCACACAACAACAGUCGAGAUCUGUUACUGAUUGUGCUGCACCACUCCUUUUCUUUCAUUCAUAUGAUUCAGAACUGGUGCUUUGAAGAGAAUAUAAAUACAUUCCUCUUGACUUCUUUGUCUGUCCUUUUGGAGAAGUGCUAAGCGCUGGUUCUGUGUAUCCCAGUAUGGUUUCUUUUUUAAUAUCUAUUUCAGAAAACACACCCCUACUGCAGCACAGUGCAGCCUAUAGCAAUGAAGAGGAAUAAUAACAAAAUCCUCAAAGACAGAUCAGGCAUUCUGUAUGCCGUACUUCGGUCAAACUCGAAUCUGAAGUGCUUCUAUAAAUCAUCAAAACCACAUUUUCUCCCUCUCUUGCAAUAGGUUAUGUGACAUUACAAAUUCCUGCUGGUAAUUAUGUAGGAAUACGCUCAGUUGGCUGAAUUCAUUAUACUUCUUAAAGUAGCACUCGUAUUUGCUCUGCAUAACUGCAGUCUCCCAUUCAUUUAGUAACAGUCUCCUCCUAUUAGCCAUCUCAUUUUAACAGUGGGUGUGGACAGCUCCGGAAGGUGGGUGCUUGGUGAUAGCUGCACCAUGUGGUGACAGUGGAGGCUCUCAGCCAAGUGACCUGCUCAAAACCUGGCAAUGCCACACAUUCCCUUAAGCGAGUGCUUCUGCCAUGACCAGAAGCAAUGGGGGCCCUGAGAAAAGACCACAAACGCCCUUCUACAGCACAAGGCAGGACUAAUAGUGUAUGGUCAGCAUCAACAGAACCGCAGGGCCUACUACAACAGGUAAUUAUCUGAUUCAUGGAGUUAAUUUCUUUUGGCUUGUCACUAUGACUUCCUACUGCACAGAAAGAGGAGAGAGAGUCAAAGAUAAACAUGUGCCUCUUACAAAAUGAAGAAUUCUAUAGGAGAAAGCCCAAAUACAAUUAAAAGAUAGCAGUAUGUAACAAUUAACCACGUCCAGCCUUUCCUCAUCAUUAGCAAAAUAUAGAUGGAAGACAGACCUAGCUCGCUCACAGCAGAAUAUAUUUGGCAUCACCUUUAAACUAUACACACAACAUAGCCUUCUAUUGAUCCCAUUGAUCUCUUUCACCUUAUAUAUCAGUUAUCAUUUUUUGAAAGGAUAUUUUUCUGUUGCUUAAAUAACAGCUUGAUUGCUGGAGCCAAUUUCCACCACAACAAAACUGUUUACCUCACUGUAUGAGUGAGUGGGGCUGUUAGUCCUGAAGGCUUGUUGUGUAGAUGCUGGCUAGAGAAAAAAUGAUUUCAGGUUGAGUGGAGCCCGUUCUAACCUCCAAUAUGCAAAUCUUUACUUCCUUGUUGGUUCUCUAAAGGUGCAGAAAAGAAGAGAAAGCUUCCUCCCCCAGCUCUGAUAUUGAAUUCACCUCUGAUUUUGAUUCCCAAUGAAGAUUUUUUUUCUUUCCAAAUGUGUGGCAUAAAGUAAAAUCUUGUACUUCUGUGCACAUAAAAAAUCCAUAAUGCAGGGUAUUGGUAGAAUGCUUGGGAACCACAACCAGAAUGAGUUAGAUUAGGUAGGAAGAGACGGAAAGGGAGGGAAAGGAAAGGGAAGAGAAAGGUCAUUGUAAUUGAUUAACUCAAGUCUCUCUUGUUGUACUAAAGGAGGAAGGACUGAUGAGCAUAUUUGAAAGGACUCAAAGAGAAAGCUCCUUAUUUAUGGAAUCCACCACUGUAGCAGUCAGAGGGAGAGGUCAUGAAAAUAUUGCUCUUUCAAAAUCCAAUGGAACCGUAGCUGAGCCAUAAUAAGUACCGGUGCAGAUGGGCAUAUGCCUAACAUAAGCUCUCCUCUGUCCUCUGAUCUGAAAGAUAAGCACUAAAAGUGCUAAUGGAAGGUUAGGCUGGAAAUACCUCCUCUCACCCUCCUUUUCUCUAACUUGCUUGCUGAGUUUAUUCCGUGUUUUCAAAUUCCUACAGAUAAAAUUGAAGAACAAAAAUGCAGCUGGGGUUCAUGCAAGUGGCAAUUUGAAGAGUACCUUUAUUCUCAAACAGCUUGACUUCUCUUGUCGGGGAGAGUAUCUGUCAAACCACACGUUUCUCCUUCCUGAGCUCAAAUAACAGGUGGCUGAAAUCUGAAAAGGGCUGAUUUUCAAGAACGUGUUGUAUUUAGCAAGUUAUAUUUACAACCAAAUAGCAAUGCAAUCAUGUCUACUCGCUGCUCCUCUGGGACAGAAUUAAGAAAUAUCACCCAAAUGUGAACAGCAGAUCCGUGAUACAGGCAGGAGUGGGACUGGUCCUUCUCAAGUCACAACUCCACUGUUUAACUACAGGGCCAUAAAACUUCCUUUCCUAGUCUGCUAGCAAUGCCACGAUCCACUCAGACAAAGAGUGAUAUCAAGAAUAAGUCCAUCUGGCAUCAGCCACAGCCCAUAUGAGAUGAAGAUCAACAGCCUGGGAAGAGGAGUGAACUCAGUGCCUAGGGCUGGGCAGUGCUAGCACAAGCUGUCUUCCCCCUUUGCUGAGGGGGGCUGUCAGGUUUGGAUCAGCAGCAACACAAGGGCAGCCCCAGAAGUCAUUGCCUGUGUCAUAAACCAGAUGCCCCAGGGGAUUCUGAAUAACCCUACAGGCAAACAGAAUGGGCCAUCAUCCUCUUUUGUCAUGAAAAGGUAGGAGAUUCACUUCUGCAGCUUCAAGAGAAAUUGGGAAAGUAUGGCUACUUGAUUUUCAGCCCUGAUUUGUGCCUUCAAUUUGAUAAAGAUCCAUUCUUACAUGCUUGAGUCAUUUUAGCUACUUUUUCUUGCUUUUUUUCCCCUGUACACUCAGACCUGAAAACUGGAACUCCAGCAUCCCAGGAGGGUACCACUGACGUAAUGUAGCAUGACAAUACAUAACUCCCAUUGGCUUCCUGCGUUGGUGCUCACAAGUGUUCUACGCAGAAAGUCUUUUCUUCAGAACUGUGUUGUGCUGAGGACUGAAUUAAUCUGUUAUUUAAUGUGGCUACUGAGCUUUAUGUUCUGCAAAUUACCAUUACUUGAUAUUUCUUCUUGCUGUGAAUUUUUUUGUCGAGUUUGGACUUGGUGAUCCUUAUGGGUCCUUUCCAGUGUGGGUUAUUCUAUGAUUUUAUGAUUUCCAAACUGUAAAGAUUUAUACUUUCUCAUGUUGUUUGAUCGUUUGCUUUUAAUACAUCUCUUCAUCUGCUGAAUAAUGCAGGUAGAUUUUGGAUUUUCUCAUGACUUUGCCCCACCAAAGUAGCUAACUAGGGUGAAGUCCAUUAAUUGAUAUCACUCAAUUAAUUAUUCUGAGAACUCAGAACCUGGUUUCUGGCUCUGUCUUCUGAAAGGAAAAUCUGUGUUGUUUGUUUGAUUGCUCCUCAAGCUGCAUGUGCCUUCCCAGGCUUUGAAGCUAUGCCCAUCACUGCAGAACAUGAGAUGACUGAUAACGCCCUUCUCAUUCACAGAACAGACACUGUUCAGCAACAACAUGUUUUGGCCUAAAAAGUGGUGUUUGAGACCUGAUACGUAAUCUAUGAAUUCGUCCAAUCUGGUCAGUGCCCCUUGCUUUGGUGUUCUUAAGAUAUAGAUGCACAUCCACUCAGAAAAUCACUGCUGCCCCAGGCAGUGGCCAGGCCAUCUCUAUCAGCUCUUGGUCACUGGGAACGUUUCAAAGUUGCUCUGGAAACAGAAGGCUCUGAAACUACACAGUGUUAUUCCCAUGAACAACGCACUGCCCUACAGUUUGCUCUGUUCACAGCCAGCUACUCUUCUAUUAGACUCUUUUUUUUUAUUAUUAUUAUUUGCCCACAAAUUUUGUUAUACUUUCUUGUAAGCAGUCAAAAUUCAAGUUUUGUUGAAAUCAGCAAUAAAAAUUCUGAAGCAAAAAAUACCAAUAAAUCUAGUUAUUUAGCCAAUAAACAGAGGUAGGCUAAACUAGUAUGCUCUGAUCCCUGUGCAGCAGUGCCAAGCAGGUGGCCAUACACAAUUUAGCUCACUGACGAUUGCCUGCAGUGUGACCAACGCAUGGCAGUCCUUGGUGCAGACACAUCCAGGAGCAGCUGGCCGAGGGCAUUCCCUGGGUAUUUUGGGGCAUGGUCCUGGCACCUGUUCUCCAAUGAAUUGUUCUUUAUCACUUUAAUAAACCGGGAUAUACAUUCUUACAUUUUGGCUUCUAAAAUUCCCGUGAAACCACUGAAAGCUGAGCAUGCGGUGGAAGACUGUAUGUAGGAAUGUUCAGCUUCUGUUGGACAUUCUUGAUGGGAAUCUCCUUUAGUGAACACUGAGAUGUAUGAACAACAAGCCUUUCACCGAUACCCUGAAGUUGCAGGCAAAAGCCACUGUCUUAAAAAAGAAAGGGAUUAGGCUAGCUGGAUGUUUUGGUUGGUAAAGGAGUUGAAAAACAUUAUUUAUUUCAGCAUGAACUCACCGGACCUCUGCCCCUGUUUUCACUGCAGAGAGACACAGGAUGGAUUCAUUUUGAUUCUGUUCUCAGGCGAUGGUAAGAGGAUCGUCUCUGUUGAAUAGCCCUGACUGUUGUGACACCAAGUGUCCUCCACUAGCACAGAGCCCUGUUUGUUCCCCCAGCCCCAGCGACACGCUGGGUCAGACUCCCUCCAUUGGGGCUGCACGCAUUCGGCAGAUCUUUUCACCAUCAGUGGGGUUCAGGGGGGACGCAACGUGGCUGACACUGGGACUACAGACCCUGGGCAGCUGGGGAGCAAUGAUGGUGGGCCCAGCAGGGCAAUGCCCCCUCCUGCCAGUUUCCUUCUCUGAGCAACCUGUUCAUCGGGGUCCGUGUAGGUGUGCAAUGCUGUGUGACCGUGGAUUUUUGCACCCAACCUCUGUGCGCAUUGUUGACUGCAGUGGCACCACUGCUGCAGCACAUUUUCAAAGAGAACUGAAGAAAACAAAAAGCUACAUGUACUGGUAUUCCUCUUUAAUUUAAUAUCAUCUUACAAGGUGGAAAUUAAAAUGAUUUUUUCUGUCACCGUUAUCUCACUUCACUUGGCGAUGAUCGAUUUCCUUCUCCCCUACUGCUUACUAAUAAGACAUCUGAACACUGAGAUGGUUUUUGUGUUUACUUCCUUGUUUAAAUCAGCUUCCCCAGCUAAGGACAGCCUUGGCACUACAUCUGCUCCGCAACUUGUGAUUUCUGCGUUGGCUCCACGCUGACAGAAUGUCAGGCAUGGAGAGGUAUAUAUUUUUAAUUACUCGGGGAUGCCCCUGUGUAUAAGUACAGGCAAAUUAACUAAGCACAGUCCAAAACCUGCUCCUAGCAGCGCUCACAUGUUACACACACACACACAUUUCAGGCACCGAGCCUCACCUCUUGGGGCUGACGCAUGGAGAGAUGGUGGCAGGUGACAACGACACCUUUCUACAAAUGGAACGCUGAUGUCCAGGGAGAGGAAUAGACAAAAGUCAGCAUCGCUGAUGUCUGAAAGAAUCUGGUGCUUGCUUCCAGAAAUCAGCGAUCCUUCGCAGAGGUGGGGGUAUGGCAGUGAGCACGGCUGCUGCCUGGGGUCUGGGCACCGUGCUGUGAGCUCCUCGCACCCUGCUAGCAUGGCAGCUCCAGCCCUGAUGGAGUUAUUGCGACAGACUAAAAAUGCUCAGUGAACAUCUCGCAGUUUAAGGAGAAAAUACCAAAAGGGAAGGGAAGGAAACUUGGCCAUAUGCACAUCGCAGGCGAGGAACCAUGGAAAGAUGGGGCCGAGGCUCUGGAGCUGAGUGCUGCUGUGGAGCUGAGUAAUAGGCUCUGCAGUGCAUGCUCUCGGGACGUCAUCCCACACCUUUUGGACGUUUUGCUGUCUGUGGCAUCUCCUUACCAAAUGUGUUUUGUGUCGCCCCAGCUGAAAUCUCUGUGUUCAGCAUUAGUCAGUUUUUAUCUCUGGGAUCUUCACACCCCAAGACCUACACAGUGCUGUCCUAUCUCCUUCCUCUCAAACUUCAUUGUCCUUCGCUUACCCUGUUUCUCUAAGCGGAAAUUUUGGUGUUUCCUUCUCCCUCUUGGCAAAGCUGCUCUUGCUCUUCUCAGGAAGACAACACCUUAAGGUUUCUUUCAGCCCUAUCCUAAACAGUUUCACGAUUUUCUUCACAACGAUCUCUGUAGCAACACCACCUCACCCACAGCUGGGCUGUACCGGGUCCCUUCCCACAUGCAGACCCCGUGGGGGGACCCCACACCACGGCCGGGUCCCGGCCCUGGGCAGAGGCACCCGCGGCACUGCAGGGACCGGGCCGGGAGG
ensembl:lncRNA